rnacentral:rRNA from 1 species
GAUCCUGGCUCAGGAUGAACGCUAGCGGCAGGCUUAACACAUGCAAGUCGAGGGGUAUAUGUCUUCGGAUAUAGAGACCGGCGCACGGGGUGCGUAACGCGUAUGCAAUCUACCUUUUACAGGGGAAUAGCCCAGAGAAAUUUGGAUUAAUGCCCCAUAGUAUAAUUGAAUGGCAUCAUUUAAUUAUUAAAGUCACAACGGUAAAAGAUGAGCAUGCGUCCCAUUAGUUAGUUGGUAAGGUAACGGCUUACCAAGACAAUGAUGGGUAAGGGUCCUGAGAGGGAGAUCCCCCACACUGGUACUGAGACACGGACCAGACUCCUACGGGAGGCAGCAGUGAGGAAUAUUGGACAAUGGGCGCAAGCCUGAUCCAGCCAUGCCGCGUGCAGGAAGACGGUCCUAUGGAUUGUAAACUGCUUUUAUACAGGAAGAAACACUCCGACGUGUCGGAGCUUGACGGUACUGUAGGAAUAAGGAUCGGCUAACUCCGUG